rnacentral:rRNA from 1 species
CCUACGGGAGGCAGCAGUGGGGAAUAUUGGACAAUGGGCGCAAGCCUGAUCCAGCAAUGCCGCGUGAGUGAUGAAGGCCUUAGGGUUGUAAAGCUCUUUUACCCGGGAUGAUAAUGACAGUACCGGGAGAAUAAGCCCCGGCUAACUCCGUGCCAGCAGCCGCGGUAAUACGGAGGGGGCUAGCGUUGUUCGGAAUUACUGGGCGUAAAGCGCACGUAGGCGGCUUUGUAAGUUAGAGGUGAAAGCCUGGAGCUCAACUCCAGAACUGCCUUUAAGACUGCAUCGCUUGAAUCCAGGAGAGGUGAGUGGAAUUCCGAGUGUAGAGGUGAAAUUCGUAGAUAUUCGGAAGAACACCAGUGGCGAAGGCGGCUCACUGGACUGGUAUUGACGCCGAGGUGCGAAAGCGUGGGGAGCAAACAGGAUUAGAUACCCUGGUAGUCCACGCCGUAAACGAUGAUAACUAGCUGUCCGGGGACAUGGUCUUUGGGUGGCGCAGCUAACGCAUUAAGUUAUCCGCCUGGGGAGUACGGUCGCAAGAUUAAAACUCAAAUGAAUUGACGG